AGCUUGCUAUGAGCCCCCGGCCAGGUCAGUGCAUCUCUCUGGCCCUGUUUUCUUAUCCCGACUUUCCCCGCUGAGAAAAUAACGUGGCCGGCCAGAGGCUGGGGGCGCCGCGUGACCAGGGCUCACCUGUGUCCAUCCUCCAGCUGCUGGCACAGCGUGGGCUCCAGCUCCAGCAGGCAGAAGUCGCCGGCUGCAGCGCCGCUGGCCCCAGGGCCGAAGCCCAGGCAGUGCACCGCCGGCAGCAGCUCGGCCGCAUUCAGCUUGGCGAUCUGCAGCGUCGCAUCCACCUCGUCGCGGGUCCUCUUCAUCGCAGCGCCGGGUCUAGGAGUCCCGCCGCGCCCGGGUGGCUGCGGGCUUGGCGGGCAAGAAAGAAGUUCCCAAGCAGCCGGAAGAGCCUGAACUUGAUGGAUCAGCUGGCACCACCCAGAUCGAUUAAUUGGCUCAUCUGAUCUGGGGGCCCCCCCGACCCAGGAACUGACUCAGCGCAAGGAGACAGCUCCGACUCUCCAUGAUUUCAUCCCUGACCAAUCAGCACUCCUGGCUCACUGGCUCCCCCACCCACCAAGUUGUCCUGAAACACUGCUCACCCAGUGCUUGGGGAGACUGAUUUGAGUAAUAAUAAAACUCUGGUCUUCUGGUUCUAGAUCCUUGAGGAAUCGCCACACUGUCUGCCACAAUGGUUGAACUAAUUUACACUCCCACCAACAGUAUAAAUAAAAACAAAAC
rnacentral:lncRNA from 10 species